rnacentral:rRNA from 1 species
CAAUAGCGUAUAUUAAAGUUGUUGCAGUUAAAAAGCUCGUAGUUGGAUUUCUGCUGAGGACGAUCGGUCCGCCCACUGGGUGAGUAUCUGGCUCGGCCUUGGCAUCUUCUUGGAGAACGUUGCUGCACUUGACUGUGUGGCGCGGUAUCCAGGACUUUUACUUUGAGGAAAUUAGAGUGUUUCAAGCAGGCGCACGCCUUGAAUACAUUAGCAUGGAAUAAUGAGAUAGGACCUUGGUUCUAUUUUGUUGGUUUCUAGAGCUGAGGUAAUGAUUAAUAGGGAUAGUUGGGGGCAUUCGUAUUUAACUGCCAGAGGUGAAAUUCUUGGAUUUGUUAAAGACGGACUACUGCGAAAGCAUUUGCCAAGGAUGUUUUCAUUGA